GGGGAAUUGUUCGCAAUGGGCGCAAGCCUGACGACGCAACGCCGCGUGGAGGAUGAAGACCUUCGGGUCGUAAACUCCUUUCGACCGAGAUGAAUUCCUGCCGGCUGAACACGCUGGCAGAUUGACAGUAUCGAGGGAAUCAGCCCCGGCUAACUCCGUCCCAGCAGCCGCGGUAAUGCGGGGGGGGCAAGCGUUGUUCGGAAUUACUGGGCGUAAAGGGUCGGUAGGUGGCCCGCUAAGUCACACGUGAAAUCCCUCAGCUCAACUGGGGAACUGCGUGUGAGACUGGCAGGCUUGAGGGCAGGAGAGGAACGCGGAAUUCCAGGUGUAGCGGUGAAAUGCGUAGAUAUCUGGAGGAACACCGGUGGCGAAGGCGGCGUUCUGGACUGUCUCUGACACUGAACGACGAAAGCCAGGGGAGCAAAC
rnacentral:rRNA from 1 species